AGAAAGGUAAGCUAAUUAAAGCUACUAGGUUCAUACCCUAUUUAUAGAAGUAACAAUCCUUCUCCUCUCUA
rnacentral:tRNA from 1 species